rnacentral:piRNA from 1 species
UGCCUUAAAGAGAAUCACAGCUUGUCACU